rnacentral:rRNA from 1 species
UACAGAGGCCCCAAGCGUUAUCCGGAAUUAUUGGGCGUAAAGGGUGUGUAGGUGGCAUUGUUAGUCGUUUGUGAAAGCCCGGGGCUCAACCUCGGAAACGCGAACGAAACGGCAAAGCUUGAGUAUGUGAGAGGUAAGCGGAACUCAUGGUGUAGGGGUGAAAUCCGUUGAUAUCAUGGGGAACACCAAAAGCGAAGGCAGCUUACUGGCACAUUACUGACACUGAAACACGAAAGCGUGGGUAGCGAAUGGG